rnacentral:misc_RNA from 1 species
GUGAAUCAUCAAAUUUUUGAACGCAAAUUGCACUCUCUGGUAUUCCGGAGAGUAUGUCUGUUUGAGGGUCAGAUUAAAUAAACAUCGUUGUGGUUGCUGCCUUUCGUGCUUAGGCACCGGAUUUGGCUUGUCUUAUUUUCGGUUAAGUGACUUAAAAUUUUGCAUGCUUUUUUUCGAACGUAUCUAAAUGAUUUUACGUACGUUUUCGAGAUCGAAUACUAGUUUUGGUCAUCGUCAUUAUUCG